rnacentral:rRNA from 1 species
UACCAGCACCCCGAGUGGUCGGGACGAUUAUUGGGCCUAAAGCAUCCGUAGCCGGUUUUACAAGCCUCCGUUAAACCAGCUGCUUAACAGAUGGGCUGCGGAGGAUACUAUAAGACUAGGAGGCAGGAGAGGCAAGCGGUACUCAGUGGGUAGGGGUAAAAUCCGUUGAUCCAUUGAGACCACCAGUGGCGAAGGCGGCUUGCCAGAAUGCG